GACGAACGCUGGCGGCGUGCCUAAUACAUGCAAGUCGAACGCAGUGGGGACGGGUGAGUAACACGUGGGUAACCCCCCAUCAGAGGGGAUAACACUUGGAAACAGGUGCUAAACCGAUACUGAUGGAUGGACCCGCGGUGCAUUAGCUAGUUGGUGAGGUAACGGCUCACCAAGGCCACGAUGCAUAGACGACAUGGGAGGGUGGCCGGCCACAGUGGGGCGGCAACACGGCCCGGACGCCUACGGGAGGCAGCAGUAGGGAAUCAUCGGCAAGGGACGAAAGUCUGACCGAGCAACGCCGCGUGAGUGAAGAAGGUUUUCGGAUCGUAAAUCUCUGUUGUUAGAUAAGCGGUAUCUAACCAGAAAGCCACGGCUAACUGCGUGCCAGCAGCCGCGGUAAUAC
rnacentral:rRNA from 1 species